UACCAGCUCUCCGAGUGGUAGGGAUGUUUAUUGGGCUUAAAGCGUCCGUAGCCGGCUUAGCAAGUCUCCUGUUAAAUUCAGCGACCUAAUCGUUGAGCCGCGGGAGAUACUACUAGGCUAGGAGGCGGGAGAGGUCAACGGUACUUCCGGGGUAGGGGUGAAAUCCUAUAAUCCCGGGAGGACCACCAGUGGCGAAGGCUGUUGACUAGAACGCGCUCGACGGUGAGGGACGAAAGCUGGGGGAGCGAACCGGAUUAGAUACCCGGGUAGUCCCAGCUGUAAACGAUGCGAGCUAGGUGUUGGGGUGGCUACGUGCCUCUUCAGUGCCGCAGGGAAGCCAUUAAGCUCGCCGCCUGGGGAGUACGGCCGCAAGGCUGAAACUUAAAGGAAUUGGCGGGGAGCACCACAAGGCGUGAAGCUUGCGGUUC
rnacentral:rRNA from 1 species